rnacentral:piRNA from 1 species
GAAGCUGGUAAGGUAGCCCAAGG